rnacentral:lncRNA from 1 species
UUUCCGAGGACAUGACCCUUGAUAGGAAAGUCUGGAGGUCUAGAAUCAGGGUUGUAGGAUAGGGGCUCCUAGAGUUUUUCGUACGCCUCAUCCGGGGUUAGGUGUGGGUCAGCAUGGUUACCCAUAGAUGAUUUGUGUUUUAGCUUAUGUCCCACCUAUGGUUGUUUGUUAUGGUAGUUACUGUAUGAUAUUAUUGCAUGCGAUUGUAUUUAU